rnacentral:rRNA from 1 species
GAUGAACGCUGGCGGCGUGCCUAAUACAUGCAAGUCGAGCGAACAGACGAGGAGCUUGCUCCUCUGACGUUAGCGGCGGACGGGUGAGUAACACGUGGAUAACCUACCUAUAAGACUGGGAUAACUUCGGGAAACCGGAGCUAAUACCGGAUAAUAUAUUGAACCGCAUGGUUCAAUAGUGAAAGACGGUUUUGCUGUCACUUAUAGAUGGAUCCGCGCCGCAUUAGCUAGUUGGUAAGGUAACGGCUUACCAAGGCAAUGAUGCGUAGCCGACCUGAGAGGGUGAUCGGCCACACUGGAACUGAGACAAGGUCCAGACUCCUACGGGAGGCAGCAGUAGGGAAUCUUCCGCAAUGGGCGAAAGCCUGACGGAGCAAAGCCGCGUGAGUGAUGAAGGUCUUCGGAUCGUAAAACUCUGUUAUUAGGGAAGAACAAAUGUGUAAGUAACUAUGCACGUCUUGACGGUACCUAAUCAGAAAGCCACGGCUAACUACGUG